rnacentral:rRNA from 1 species
AGCGAACGCUGGCGGCAGGCUUAACACAUGCAAGUCGAGCGGGCACUUUCGGGUGUCAGCGGCGGACGGGUGAGUAACGCGUGGGAACGUGCCCUCUGGUUCGGAAUAACUCAGGGAAACUUGAGCUAAUACCGGAUACGCCCUUUUGGGGAAAGGCUUGCUGCCGGAGGAUCGGCCCGCGUCUGAUUAGCUAGUUGGUGAGGUAACGGCUCACCAAGGCGACGAUCAGUAGCUGGUCUGAGAGGAUGAUCAGCCACACUGGGACUGAGACACGGCCCAGACUCCUACGGGAGGCAGCAGUGGGGAAUACUGGACAAUGGGCGCAAGCCUGAUCCAGCCAUGCCGCGUGAGUGAUCAAGGCCUUAGGGUUGUAAAGCUCUUUUAUCCGGGACGAUAAUGACGGUACCGGAGGAAUAAGCCCCGGCUAACUUCGCG